rnacentral:rRNA from 1 species
UACGAAGGGGGCUAGCGUUGCUCGGAAUUACUGGGCGUAAAGGGCGCGUAGGCGGCACUGUUAGUCAGGCGUGAAAGUCCUGGGCUCAACCUGGGAACUGCGCUUGAUACGGCAGAGCUAGAGGAUGGAAGAGGGUCGCGGAAUUCCCAGUGUAGAGGUGAAAUUCGUAGAUAUUGGGAAGAACACCGGUGGCGAAGGCGGCGACCUGGUCCAUUACUGACGCUAAGGCGCGACAGCGUGGGGAGCAAACAGG